CCAUUUCCCACUGAUGUCACUGUUCCUCAGCUCCCUCAGAUGACGUCGGUGUUUACUCCAUGUUUACUCCACUCCUGCCUGAGAGAUAUCACACAAAGCUACCACGUGGAUCCAGAUGCCUGGGUCAAGUGGACGGAGAAUCGAAAGGCAAACACCAGGGCCACAGCAUGAAAGAAGGUCUGAAGAUCAACCUGAAAUGACACAUCAGCUGAAUGUGGAGAUGGAGCUAAAUAAACACGUUUUUUAAAAAGCCCCGCCUUCUUUAAUGUCAUCACAUACAGAAAUGUGAGGGUUGCACGUCAGUGUCAAAGCUUUGAAUAGUUGUCUUGUUUAUCAUGUCCUGAGAUGCAGGCUGAGUUUGGAAAACAUCGCACGGAGCUAAAAAAAAAAAAAAAAAAAGUUUCACAAUGUGCAUUCAACAUGCAUGGGA